AUUCAGGGAAAGUGAUAUAGUUUAUUGGUUAUGGGCGUUGUAUGAAGCAGCGUGAGGGUAGCGCCUUCCAGUGGUGGAAUAAAGCAAUACCCGUGCGUGUGUCAAACCAAUGCAGCUAUUCAGUUUCUUUAAAUAAAUAACUUUAUGACGUUGUGGGGUGUGUUUACCCCAAUCAGAAUCGAUUUCUUUAUUUGCCAUUCGUAUUUUCAAUGCAGCGGAUACACUUUUGGGAAAAACAAUACUAACAGAGAUAACACAGAGACUUCAGAGAUAUCACAUUAAAUUACAAAGGUGCCAGGUGCCUUAUAUCAGCUACAGUGAUCCAAUAAAAUCACUUACCAGGCGAUAUAUCACGGGAUAGACAACUGUGGAAACAUUUACCUUCAGUAAUAUUCACGGAAAUGUAUACAUCAAGGUAAAAGUCAAAAAACAGUUAUUGUGUGACAUGUACUGUCUUCAGUGCAGACCAAUGCAAACAUUUGACUUCAAACCUCAAUGGACCCUUUCACCGAGGUGUCAUGGUAGAAUAAACACAGGUGUGGCUCACACCCCUCAUUAUGGAUCUGCUCCUUUUAUCUCCUAGCACACAGGUGGUAGACCUAUCUGCACUAAAUUACUCUUCUAAUUGGGCCCUGGCAAAUAAAAGUAGCAGAGCCAUUAUGAGUGCUAUUAGCCUCACCCGUGUGACUCAUAAGAACACGUCUGGGAAAUGGGGCACUGCAGAGGGUUUAGACUAAACAAUGGAUUCCCUGGAAGUUCGCUAUCAUCAAGAUAGGUGAAAAGCGGGGGCCUUAAAGGAUAGAAACAGACAAUGUACUGCUUUGGGCGGUUUCUCCCCGCCAAUGUGUGUCUUCUGAAAGGGCUUGUUUUUGCUACUGAACGGCUCACAUCACCUUAUAUCAUUACGGAAUGAAUCCCCAUUUUGGCUUGAUCACGGUCUGUUUGUUCUUUGGGGUUGGAUGGACACGUGGGUGAGAGCCGGAGAGAACGCUGAUUGUUGUGUUGGACUACAGAAAGCAAAGCUUAGUGUAUCUAAAAGGUUUGGUCGAAGGACAGUUGAG
ensembl:lncRNA